rnacentral:rRNA from 1 species
AGGGCAUGCGGUGAAUGCCUUGGUACCAGGAGGCGAUGAAGGACGUAGGUAGCUGCGAUAAGCUUCGGGGAGUUGCUACACGAACUCUGAUCCGGAGAUUUCCGAAUGGGGAAACCCACGCCAUCAAAAGUGGCUAUUGGCGACUGAAUACAUAGGUCUGUCAAAGCGAACUCAGGGAACUGAAACAUCUAAGUACCUGAAGGAAUAGAAAUCAACCGAGAUUCCCUUAGUAGCGGCGAGCGAAAUGGGAAGAGCCUAAACCUGUGCUGUGUAAGCCUGUAAGCGUUGCAGUAUGGGGGUCGUGGGACCAUCUGGUGUUCUUUACAGAGAGCGCACGAAGUUACAAAACCACACGCUAGGAAAGCCGUUCUGGAAAGACGGGCCAAAGAGGGUGAUAGCCCCGUAUCCGAAAGCGUAGUGGACUUCGAGAUGGCACCCGAGUACCGCGGAACACGUGAAACUCUGUGGGAAUCUGGGGGGACCACCCUCCAAGGCUAAAUACUACCUGGUGACCGAUAGUGGACUAGUACCGCGAGGGAAAGGUGAAAAGCACCCCUAACAGGGGAGUGAAAUAGACCCUGAAACCGCAUGUCUACAAGCAGUUGAAGCACUAUGGGCUUGCCCAGUGCGACAGCGUGCCUUUUGCAUAAUGAGCCUGCGAGUUACGAUCUGGAGCAAGGUUAAGCCGUGAGGUGAAGCCGAAGGGAAACCGAGUCUGAAUAGGGCGAAUAGUUGCAGGUCGUAGACCCGAAACCAAGUGAUCUAUCCAUGGCCAGGUUGAAGCGCGAGUAAAAUCGCGUGGAGGACCGAACCCACCAAGGUUGAAAACUUGGGGGAUGAGCUGUGGAUAGGGGUGAAAGGCCAAUCAAACUUGGAAAUAGCUGGUUCUCUCCGAAAUAUAUUUAGGUAUAGCCUCGUGUAUAUCUGCCGGAGGUAGAGCACUGGAUGGGUAAGGGGCCUCACCAGGUUACCAACCCCAACCAAACUCCGAAUGCCGGUAAGAGUGAGCACGGGAGUCAGACUGCGGGAGAUAACUUUCGUAGUCGAGAGGGAAACAACCCAGACCGCCGGCUAAGGCCCCCAAUUCCAUGCUAAGUGGGAAAGGAUGUGGGAGCGCACGGACAACCAGGAGGUUGGCUUAGAAGCAGCCAUCCUUUAAAGAAAGCGUAAUAGCUCACUGGUCUAGCGAACCUGCGCCGAAAAUGUAACGGGGCUCAAGCAUGGAGCCGAAGCCGCGGACUCAGCAAUGAGUGGUAGGAGAGCAUUCCAACGACGCUGAAGGUUCACCGUAAGGAGGGCUGGAGUUUUUGGAAGAGCUUAUGCAGGCAUGAGUAGCGAUAAAACGGGUGAGAAACCCGUUCGCCGUAAACCCAAGGUUUCCUGGGCCAGGUUAAUCCUCCCAGGGUUAGUCGGAUCCUAAGCCGAGGCCGAAAGGCGUAGGUGAUGGUAAGCAGGUUAAUAUUCCUGCACCGGCGAAUGUUUGUUGAAGCUAGAGGGGACGGAGAAGGAUAGGUCAGCCAUCUUGUGGAUUGAUGGUUCAAACCCGUAGGUGGUCAUUGUAGGACGCAUACGCGACAAACGCAGUGACAUUAACGCCAAGAGGUGAUGAGGCGGCAGCUUAUUUUACAAGCAGCCGAAACUGACUGAUUCCAUGCUUCCAAGAAAAGCCUCGAGUGGAGAAUAUUCGUCGUCCGUACCGCAAACCAACACAGGUGGGUGGGGAGAGUAUCCCAAGGCGCUUGAGAGAACCCUGGUUAAGGAACUCGGCAAAUUAACACCGUAACUUAGGGAGAAGGUGUGCCCUCGCUACGUGAAGAGACUUGCUCUCUAAGCGGAAGAGGGUUGCAGUGAAAUGGCGGUAGCGACUGUUUACUAAAAACACAGGACUCUGCAAAGUCGUAAGACGAAGUAUAGGGUCUGACGCCUGCCCGGUGCCGGAAGGUUAAGAGGAGUUGUCAGGAGCAAUCCGAAGCAGCGAAUCGAAGCCCCGGUAAACGGCGGCCGUAACUAUAACGGUCCUAAGGUAGCGAAAUUCCUUGUCGGGUAAGUUCCGACCUGCACGAAUGGCGUAACGAUGGGGGCGCUGUCUCUACCCGAGACUCAGUGAAAUUGAAAUCGCCGUGAAGAUGCACUGUCUCAACCAGGGACUCAGCGAAAUUGAAUUCUCGGUGAAGAUGCCGAGUACCCGCAGCAAGACGGAAAGACCCCGUGAACCUUCACUACAGCUUGGCACUGUAUUUCGGGCUAGUUUGUGUAGCAUAGGUGGGAGGCUGUGAAGCGUGGACGCCAGUCUGCGUGGAGCCAAAGGUGAAAUACCACCCUGAUUAGUCUGGAAUUCUAACCGUGGCCCGUCAUCCGGGUCCGGGACACUGUCUGGCGGGUAGUUUGACUGGGGCGGUCGCCUCCUAAAAAGUAACGGAGGCGCGCGAAGGUUCCCUCAGGCUGAUUGGAAACCAGCCGAAGAGUGCAAAAGCAUAAGGGAGCUUGACUGCGAGACCGACGGGUCGAGCAGGUACGAAAGUAGGCUUUAGUGAUCCGGUGGUCCCGUGUGGAAGGGCCAUCGCUCAACGGAUAAAAGGUACUCCGGGGAUAACAGGCUUAUCUCCCCCAAGAGUUCACAUCGACGGGGAGGUUUGGCACCUCGAUGUCGGCUCAUCGCAUCCUGGGGCUGGAGGAGGUCCCAAGGGUUUGGCUGUUCGCCAAUUAAAGCGGUACGCGAGCUGGGUUUAGAACGUCGUGAGACAGUUCGGUCCCUAUCUGCUGUGGGCGCAGGAAGUUUGAGAAGAGUUGUCCUUAGUACGAGAGGACCGGGAUGAACGUAUCACUGGUGUUCCGGUUGUCGCGCCAGCGGCAUCGCCGGGUAGCCACAUGCGNGAGCUCACCGGCUUCGAACGCGGCGACGAUGGCGCUGGGGUGCAUGGGCUCUUCUCCCUCAUCUGGUUCGGCAUCAUGGUCCCCGGUGGACGACCGUGGGUCUCAAUGCGUCAGGGCGCGCAGCGUCGAUCGC